rnacentral:rRNA from 1 species
GAUGAACGCUGGCGGCGUGCCUAAUACAUGCAAGUAGAACGCUGAAGGAGGAGCUUGCUCUUCUGGAUGAGUUGCGAACGGGUGAGUAACGCGUAGGUAACCUGCCUGGUAGCGGGGGAUAACUAUUGGAAACGAUAGCUAAUACCGCAUGACAACAGUUAUUGCAUGAUAACGGUAUAAAAGGGGCAACUGCUCCACUACCAGAUGGACCUGCGUUGUAUUAGCUAGUUGGGGAGGUAACGGCUCACCAAGGCGACGAUACAUAGCCGACCGGAGAGGGGGGUCGGCCACACUGGGACUGAGACACGGCCCAGACUCCUACGGGAGGCAGCAGUAGGGAACCUUCGGCAAUGGACGGAAGUCUGACCGAGCAACGCCGCGGGAGUGAAGAAGGUUGUCGGAUCGUAAAGAUCGGUUGUAAGAGAAGAACGAGUGUGAGAGUGGAAAGUUCACAUUGUGACGGUAUCUGAACAGAAAGCGACGGCUAACUACGUG